rnacentral:rRNA from 1 species
UACGUAGGGUGCAAGCGUUGUCCGGAAUUAUUGGGCGUAAAGAGCGUGUAGGCGGCCCGAUUAGUCCGCUGUGAAAGUCCAGGGCUCAACCCUGGAAUGCCGGUGGAUACUGGCGGGCUAGAGUCCGGAAGGGGCGAGUGGAAUUCCUGGUGUAGCGGUGAAAUGCGCAGAUAUCAGGAGGAACACCAAUGGCGAAGGCAGCUCGCUGGGACGUGACUGACGCUGAGACGCGAAAGCGUGGGGAGCAAACAGG